rnacentral:rRNA from 1 species
UACGGGGGGGGCAAGCGUUGUUCGGAAUUACUGGGCGUAAAGGGCUCGUAGGCGGCCAACUAAGUCAGACGUGAAAUCCCUCGGCUUAACCGGGGAACUGCAUCUGAUACUGGAUGGCUUGAGUUCGGGAGAGGGAUGUGGAAUUCCAGGUGUAGCGGUGAAAUGCGUAGAUAUCGGGAGGAACACCUGUGGCGAAAGCGGCGCACUGGACCACAUCUGACGCUGAGGCGCGAAAGCUAGGGGAGCAAACAGG